AAGAAAAGGCUCUAGGGAGAAAAAGGGGGAAAGGACAGCAAACCGAAAAAGGGAGAGGAGGAGAGAAGAAGAAGGGAGGAGGAAGAAGGAGGGAGAAGGAAAGAGGAAAAGGGAAAAAGGAAAGGAGGGAGAAGGGGGGAAGAAGAGAGUAGGCCGCAGUGAAUAGGCUCAAGCAACUG
rnacentral:rRNA from 1 species